rnacentral:rRNA from 1 species
CGAAAGUCUGAUCCAGCUAUGCCGCGUGCAGGAUGACAGCCAUACGGGUUGUAAACUGCUUUUAUACAGGAAGAAAAACCCCGACGUGUCGGGGCUUGACGGUACUGUAAGAAUAAGGAUCGGCUAACUCCGUGCCAGCAGCCGCGGUAAUACGGAGGAUCCAAGCGUUAUCCGGAAUUAUUGGGUUUAAAGGGUCCGCAGGCGGUUUUUUAAGUCAGAGGUGAAAUCCUACAGCUCAACUGUAGAAUUGCCUUUGAAACUGAAAGACUUGAGUUAUUGUGAAGUGGUUAGAAUGUGUGGUGUAGCGGUGAAAUGCAUAGAUAUCACACAGAAUACCAAUUGCGAAGGCAGAUCACUAACAAUUAACUGACGCUCAGGGACGAAAGCGUGGGUAGCGAACAGGAUUAGAUACCCUGGUAGUCCACGCCGUAAACGAUGGAUACUAGCUGUAUGUCUACCUCAGGUAGAUGUGUGGCCAAGCGAAAGUGAUAAGUAUCCCACCUGGGGAGUACGAUCGCAAGAUUGAAACUCAAAGGAAUUGACGGGGGGCCCGCACAAGCGGUGGGAGCAUGUGGUUUAAUUCGAUGAUACGCGAGGAACCUUACCAGGGCUUAAAUGUAACGGGACAGGUCUAGAGAUAGACCCUUCUUCGGACUCAUUACAAGGUGCUGCAUGGUUGUCGUCAGCUCGUGCCGUGAGGUGUCAAGGUUAAGUCCUAUAACGAGCGCAACCCCCAUCGUUAGUUGCCAACGAGUAAUGUCGGGAACUCUAACGAAACUGCCGGUGCAACCGUGAG